rnacentral:rRNA from 1 species
UGGGGAAUAUUGCACAAUGGGGGAAACCCUGAUGCAGCGACGCCGCGUGAGGGAAGAAGGUUUUCGGAUUGUAAACCUCUGUCUUUGGGGACGAAGAAUGACGGUACCCAAGGAGGAAGCUCCGGCUAACUACGUGCCAGCAGCCGCGGUAAUACGUAGGGAGCGAGCGUUGUCCGGAAUUACUGGGUGUAAAGGGAGCGUAGGCGGGACAGCAAGUUGAAUGUGAAAGGUAGGGGCUCAACCCCUACACUGCGUUCAAAACUGUUGUUCUUGAGUGAAGUAGAGGCAGGCGGAAUUCCUAGUGUAGCGGUGAAAUGCGUAGAUAUUAGGAGGAACACCAGUGGCGAAGGCGGCCUGCUGGGCUUUAACUGACGCUGAGGCUCGAAAGCGUGGGGAGCAAACAGG